GGUCCUCCUUGCAGCCAAAUACCUCCGCAGGGAAAUUACCUGCAAGGGUUUUUAAGGUGAUCCGUCCCCCCCCCCAACAGACACACACUGACCAGCAUCCAGGGGGAUUCCAUCAAAUGCUGGAAGGUGGGAUGUAAAAACAGGGUAAACAAAGAAAUAAACCUUGCACACUCUAAUGUCCUCCCAGCUAAUGUCUCUCCCUCCCUCUCGUUCCUUUUUUCUUCCUCCCUCAUUCCUUCCCUUUUUCUUUCUUCCUUCCUCCCUUCCCGAAGGGGCCAGGACCUCCCUUAGACCACAGUGAUUCCGCCCGGAAGUUGCAAAUCCUCCAGCUCGGUUAGAGACGACGCGUAGCAGAGAACGGCCUUAGCAGAUGUACACCCCCNAAACUGUCCCAGACGUGACCCUGAGAAGCUCUGGAGAGGUCCCGCUACAGGUAGCACGAAGUACAGAAUGUGAGUUCAUGACGGCCCAUAGACAGGCCUUUUUGGUGGUGACUCCUCUCUGNCUUUAAUAAGGUGNGUACAAUUACAACUUUCNGAUGUCUGAUUAAAUGGUCNGCCAUUGAGACGAAGGAACGGGUANUUGGUUCGAUUGUCAUUCGCGCACAUAUCUUAACUGGAGAGUUCCGGCUUUGACCGAUUUGGACAAUCCCUUCCUAAAUUUAUUUAUUUUGAAAUGAAGGAGUACAUAGUCCAAAGGUUCCAAAGUGUAUUACUGGAAAAUAAACACAAAGACAAGGAUAAAAAUUUGAGUGGUAAAACAAGUCUUCAGUUCUCACCACCAACCUAGAAAAAACACAGAGAUGGCAGAGAAAGGGCCAUACCUUAGAACAAAUCACCUGCUUCAAGUAUCUUUAAUUGUCGUAUUCUCCAAAGAGGUUCUUUUUUUUUUUUUGCCUUUUUACAAGGGUGUUGGGGGCACAGGGGAUAGAGGAAAGGCGAGAAUUUAUCUCAGAACGUGCCUAUGUCAAGAGAAAUACGAAGCCUCUGGGUUUUUACAUCAAAGUCUAUAACAGGUUCCCACAACGGCAAACAUACAGUGAUUUACACUCGAGCAAGGAACGCAUCACAAAAUAAACAAACGCCUUCAUUCUUUACUAGCGAACAGACUACAGGUUAUAAGGGAGCUCACUGUUUUGUUUUGUUUCCGAUUGACAAAAACCAGGGAAGAUGCCUGGCCCCACCACCAACGAGGCCAUGCUUGUGACGACGAGAGAAUGAAAGUAAUCCUUUACCUUCCCUGAACCUUUGGAGAGGGCAGCCGGUAAAAGGUUUGAAAGCCCAGGGAAUUUUCGGCUGCAGAAGGCUGACCAGGAGGAAGAG
rnacentral:lncRNA from 1 species